CUUAUCCCAAAGAAUACGGAGAUAAAUCAUAUAAAAUAGAGUUGAAUGAUGUAUCAAACUGAUUGGCAUCCGGGCUGAUAUUGUUUUCCUCUUGAAAGACGUACUCCACAAGAUUGAGACUGUCAACAAGUUUGUGAUAAAUGUCCACCCAUCAAGAUUUAACAACACAUUUCGUCUAAUCUAUAUCUAUAUUACUAUAUGAUAGAUCUCCCAUAUACAACAAUGUAAUUUUCUUUAAAAUUUUAAGAUAGGAUAUCAAAAGCCAUGUUAAAAACCGUAAUUUUUGACAAUUCUUUUCCCUUUCUACCCUCCUCUCCCUUCAACAUCACAGACAGUCGAUUACACAAUCCCUCUCUUCAUGAAUUAGCCAUUAAUAUCAUUAAUCUUCCGGUCGACGUUCCCAAUCCCCCGACCGAUGAAUCACAAUCGUUCCCGUUUGCCCUUCCCGCCUUCCCAUUAAAGAGAGGUAAACGGGAGUGAGAGAUAUAGGGAUCCACUUUCCACAAAACCCUAGCAACCAGAUCCCCCAUCCCAAAACCUGCAAUCGCUACAACAUAACCGAAGCUACUUUCUGUCCAUAAAUCUCAAUCUGAGAAAAAAAGCUUGAAAUUCAUUCAUGGCGUUAAUCAGGUUCACACAGUCCUUUAGACAUGUUGAAUUUAUUUGUUAGUGAAAUUGACUGAUUGGGAAGUUGAUUUUGGAAGAACUUGAACCCUAAUUUUGAUAAUUUUCAUUUGUAUCUUUGAGAUUGUUUAGUUAUUCUUUAACAAUUGAUUGAUCAGUGUGCGUAUGCUGAAUUGAUCUAACCAUCCGACCCAUGAUAAGAAGUACCUACGCAAUGGGAAGAGAUGCUUUAUUUAUAUACGGUUCCACAGAGUAAAUUUGAGAUCCACCUACGAGAAUUCAGAAACAGGCGCAAAGACGCGGUCGAACUCAGCUGGAAAGGCCAACAUAGAGGUUGCAGGCAGUGGCGAAGCUUGAGAUUUCCGACCGGGGGGUCGAAAACGAAUAUACCCCAAAAUUUCUAUAAAACGGGGGGUCAAAAACGUAUAUACCCAAAAAUUUCUAUACGAAAACUACAUACUCUCCACUACUGAGCGAAAAGUUCGGGGGGUCGGCCGCCCCCUCCCGCCCCCACUAUCCUUCGCCCAUGGUUGCAGGUCACCAUUACACCAGGAACGGUCGUGGCCCCAUCAUUUGCAGUCACACCACCGGUAAUCGCAGUUCAUUACCCACUUCAAUAAUAUGUACACAAAACAUAACUUUUAUAUUUCUGUUCUUGAAAUUAUAUUUGUUAACAUGAAAUUUGAGUCACACCACCGGUGAUCGCAAUCAAGUUGCCUAAGCCGAGGAGCUACGCCGCCGCCACUCCAUCUGUUAGUCCAAACUGGUUUUAUCGUGGGUAACUCAAUUCAAAACAUUAGACUCAAAAAAUAUACGCCAAAAUUGAGGAAGAAGCAAAAAACGGUUGGUUAGUUCGAUAUAUGCGUGUGUUUUUAUGUUGAAAUUUUGGAUCAAAAGAAGUUGAUUUUGAAUCUGUUUGUUUUGUGAUGUAGAUCUUCUAUAUAUAAGUGCUUAUCUGAUUCUCGCUGCUCUCUGCUUAAAGUUGAUUCUGUAUUGGAUGGGCAAUUAUAUUGGUGUACCUUACUCAUUGGAUGUAUUGCAGGUGCAACUUGGUACACAUUCAUUCACUUCACCAUUAGACAUGUUGGAAGGGUGUGUUUCCCCUCUUGUUGAUGGACUGUUCCAAGGAUACAAUGCUAACGUUCUAGCCUAUGGCCAGAUUCGGGCAAGACAUAUAUCAUGGGUACUGGAUUCAAAGAUGGUUGCCAAACAUGGCUUAUCCCUCAAGCAAUGAAUGCAUUGUUCAACAAGACUGAAACUUUACAGCAUCAACUAGAGUUCCAAUUGCAUGUUUCUUUCAUUGAGAGGACGUACGGGACUUGUUGAAUAACAAAUGGGUAGAAUGGGCAAACACCAACUGGAAUGGAGUGUAUACUAAACCCAGGGUUAGUGACGGUUAUAAUCCACGAGCCAGCAAGUACAAGGAGAUAAUCCUGACACACCCUCAUGUUUAUUGCUUUAGUAUCAUCAUUUACCAUAAAUGUAUGUGAUCAUUUCUCUCUCUCUCUCUUUUUUUUUUUUUUACUUUACGAACAUUCAGUUUGUUUUUGAGUUGUCGUUGUAACGUGUGUAAAACGAUCCACGUCACAAGUAUUCUUGUAUUCUUUAUUUGAUAUAUCAGUUAAAUAAAAAAUUUGGGAUGAAUUUUACGUCUUAAA